UACGGGGGGGGCAAGCAUUGUUCGGAAUUACUGGGCGUAAAGGGCUCGUAGGCGGCCAACUAAGUCAUACGUGAAAUCCCUCGGCUUAACCGGGGAACUGCGUCUGAUACUGGAUGGCUUGAGUUCGGGAGAGGAUGGUGGAAUUCCCAGUGUAGAGGUGAAAUUCGUAGAUAUUGGGAAGAACACCGAUGGCGAAGGCAGCCAUCUGGACCGACACUGACGCUGAGGCGCGAAAGCGUGGGGAGCAAACAGG
rnacentral:rRNA from 1 species